GUCCACGCCCUAAACGAUGUCGACUGGUUGUUGGUGGGGUUAAACCCAUUAGUAACGAAGCUAACGCGUGAAGUCGACCGCCUGGGGAGUACGGCCGCAAGGUUAAAACUCAAAGGAAUUGACGGGGACCCGCACAAGCGGUGGAUGAUGUGGAUUAAUUCGAUGCAACGCGAAGAACCUUACCUACCCUUGACAUGUACGGAAGCCUGCUGAGAGGUGGGCGUGCCCGAAAGGGAGCCGUAACACAGGUGCUGCAUGGCUGUCGU
rnacentral:rRNA from 1 species